UGUGAGCUCGAUGAGUAGGGCGGGACACGUGGUAUCCUGUCUGAAUAUGGGGGGACCAUCCUCCAAGGCUAAAUACUCCUGACUGACCGAUAGUGAACCAGUACCGUGAGGGAAAGGCGAAAAGAACCCCGGCGAGGGGAGUGAAAAAGAACCUGAAACCGUGUACGUACAAGCAGUGGGAGCACGCUUCGGCGUGUGACUGCGUACCUUUUGUAUAAUGGGUCAGCGACUUAUAUUCUGUAGCAAGGUUAACCGAAUAGGGGAGCCGAAGGGAAACCGAGUCUUAACUGGGCGUUAAGUUGCAGGGUAUAGACCCGAAACCCGGUGAUCUAGCCAUGGGCAGGUUGAAGGUUGGGUAACACUAACUGGAGGACCGAACCGACUAAUGUUGAAAAAUUAGCGGAUGACUUGUGGCUGGGGGUGAAAGGCCAAUCAAACCGGGAGAUAGCUGGUUCUCCCCGAAAGCUAUUUAGGUAGCGCCUCGUGAAUUCAUCUCCGGGGGUAGAGCACUGUUUCGGCAAGGGGGUCAUCCCGACUUACCAACCCGAUGCAAACUGCGAAUACCGGAGAAUGUUAUCACGGGAGACACACGGCGGGUGCUAACGUCCGUCGUGAAGAGGGAAACAACCCAGACCGCCAGCUAAGGUCCCAAAGUCAUGGUUAAGUGGGAAACGAUGUGGGAAGGCCCAGACAGCCAGGAUGUUGGCUUAGAAGCAGCCAUCAUUUAAAGAAAGCGUAAUAGCUCACUGGUCGAGUCGGCCUGCGCGGAAGAUGUAACGGGGCUAAACCAUGCACCGAAGCUGCGGCAGCGACGCUGAUGCGUUGUUGGGUAGGGGAGCGUUCUGUAAGCCUGCGAAGGUGUGCUGUGAGGCAUGCUGGAGGUAUCAGAAGUGCGAAUGCUGACAUAAGUAACGAUAAAGCGGGUGAAAAGCCCGCUCGCCGGAAGACCAAGGGUUCCUGUCCAACGUUAAUCGGGGCAGGGUGAGUCGACCCCUAAGGCGAGGCCGAAAGGCGUAGUCGAUGGGAAACAGGUUAAUAUUCCUGUACUUGGUGUUACUGCGAAGGGGGGACGGAGAAGGCUAUGUUGGCCGGGCGACGGUUGUCCCGGUUUAAGCGUGUAGGCUGGUUUUCCAGGCAAAUCCGGAAAAUCAAGGCUGAGGCGUGAUGACGAGGCACUACGGUGCUGAAGCAACAAAUGCCCUGCUUCCAGGAAAAGCCUCUAAGCAUCAGGUAACAUCAAAUCGUACCCCAAACCGACACAGGUGGUCAGGUAGAGAAUACCAAGGCGCUUGAGAGAACUCGGGUGAAGGAACUAGGCAAAAUGGUGCCGUAACUUCGGGAGAAGGCACGCUGAUAUGUAGGUGAGGUCCCUCGCGGAUGGAGCUGAAAUCAGUCGAAGAUACCAGCUGGCUGCAACUGUUUAUUAAAAACACAGCACUGUGCAAACACGAAAGUGGACGUAUACGGUGUGACGCCUGCCCGGUGCCGGAAGGUUAAUUGAUGGGGUCAGCGCAAGCGAAGCUCUUGAUCGAAGCCCCGGUAAACGGCGGCCGUAACUAUAACGGUCCUAAGGUAGCGAAAUUCCUUGUCGGGUAAGUUCCGACCUGCACGAAUGGCGUAAUGAUGGCCAGGCUGUCUCCACCCGAGACUCAGUGAAAUUGAACUCGCUGUGAAGAUGCAGUGUACCCGCGGCAAGACGGAAAGACCCCGUGAACCUUUACUAUAGCUUGACACUGAACAUUGAGCCUUGAUGUGUAGGAUAGGUGGGAGGCUUUGAAGUGUGGACGCCAGUCUGCAUGGAGCCGACCUUGAAAUACCACCCUUUAAUGUUUGAUGUUCUAACGUUGACCCGUAAUCCGGGUUGCGGACAGUGUCUGGUGGGUAGUUUGACUGGGGCGGUCUCCUCCUAAAGAGUAACGGAGGAGCACGAAGGUUGGCUAAUCCUGGUCGGACAUCAGGAGGUUAGUGCAAUGGCAUAAGCCAGCUUGACUGCGAGCGUGACGGCGCGAGCAGGUGCGAAAGCAGGUCAUAGUGAUCCGGUGGUUCUGAAUGGAAGGGCCAUCGCUCAACGGAUAAAAGGUACUCCGGGGAUAACAGGCUGAUACCGCCCAAGAGUUCAUAUCGACGGCGGUGUUUGGCACCUCGAUGUCGGCUCAUCACAUCCUGGGGCUGAAGUAGGUCCCAAGGGUAUGGCUGUUCGCCAUUUAAAGUGGUACGCGAGCUGGGUUUAGAACGUCGUGAGACAGUUCGGUCCCUAUCUGCCGUGGGCGCUGGAGAACUGAGGGGGGCUGCUCCUAGUACGAGAGGACCGGAGUGGACGCAUCACUGGUGUUCGGGUUGUCAUGCCAAUGGCACUGCCCGGUAGCUAAAUGCGGAAGAGAUAAGUGCUGAAAGCAUCUAAGCACGAAACUUGCCCCGAGAUGAGUUCUCCCUGACCCUUUAAGGGUCCUGAAGGAACGUUGAAGACGACGACGUUGAUAGGCCGGGUGUGUAAGCGCAGCGAUGCGUUGAGCUAACCGGUACUAAUGAACCGUGAGGCUUAACCUU
rnacentral:rRNA from 1 species